rnacentral:rRNA from 1 species
UACAGAGGGGGCAAGCGUUGUUCGGAAUUACUGGGCGUAAAGGGCGCGUAGGCGGCCUGUUAAGUCGAACGUGAAAUCCCCGGGCUCAACCCGGGAACUGCGUCCGAUACUGGCAGGCUUGAAUCCGGGAGAGGGAUGCGGAAUUCCAGGUGUAGCGGUGAAAUGCGUAGAUAAUCUGGAGGAACACCGGUGGCGAAGGCGACAUCCUGGGACCGGUUAAU